ACAACCCUAGAAGCAGCAUGGUUGGUUAAAAAGCUGUGAACAUUUUGAAGCUCUGCCAUCGGUAUUGCUACAUGGCCCUCCAGCACCUCAUUCAUCUAUAUAUCCACCAGUCUGGGCUGCUGCUGCCAUUUUUGCUCCAACAGGCACUAAAUGGCUCUAGGGUUGGGUGUCAGAAUGUGUCCUCUGCCUUGUUUCAGAAACUUCAUGACUUGCAACUCAAGCUGUUACCACUUGAAAGAUUUUCCAUGUUGGAAGGGAUUUAUACGGAUGCUGGCCUAUACCGUUGGCCUUUGUGUGAUGGGAAAAGAACAUUCUUCCCAACUGUGGUUCAUAUCCAAGGUAGGUGCUCUGGCAAGAACCUUUCUGGCCCCACCUCUCCUUGGUGUGAUAAAACGAAGCUUCCGACCCGAGCCACAUUAUAUUCCUCAUAUAUGUCAGCUGGUGUUCCAGGCCACAUCUCCUCUGUCUCCAAAGAGGGUUUUGUUUUAUGUGGCACAUCCGUCGUUCGCCACUCUCAACAGCCUUUUCAUCAGCCUGGCAGUUUGAACUCCCACCUAGCAGCUGCCAAACUGAUGAAAGCUAUGGACACAAGAAGUGGGUCCGUGACCCCAAGGGAACCUUCUGAGGUUACAGUGUGGGGAAGGGGGAGGUCCAGCUUUGGAACCAGUCGUCCGGGAUACAAACCCAGUUCCAUCUAUUAUGGGCUGGUGACCUAAUGAGGUCACACUUUCUACAACCAGUCUUCGUAGCUAGCUGGCUCCAAGUGCCUAGAGGAAGAGCGACAAAGCCUGUCAAUGCCAAGUCCAGCCCUGGGCAACAAGCAGGUAUGAAUACAGACUUUACUGAAAAAUGGAGAAAAAGGUGGCAUUUGCAGAGGUGGAGAGCUGGCUGCCCUCAGUCCCCAAGGCUCUGAGACCUGAAAGUCCCUUAACCCCCAAAUUUAACCAGCUGCUCUUUUCAAAUCGAGGAAGUAUCUGAAGAGGAAAAACAGAUGUGAGAGAUUAAUUUUCAGUCCCUGUUUUUGGUGAUCAGCUCUCUGAAGAUGGAGGCAAUGAUAAAUGUGUAUCAAGUAUAAGGUGGGGGCUUUUCUACUCCCCUGUGCCCAUGUCCUUCUCACCAGCUGGACUUCUAUCAUGUAUUUAGGUUGACACAUUAUUUUCAAAGCACCCCUUUAAAAUAGUUAUCUUCAAGAAAUAAAUUAGUACAAGCUCUGGAGUCAGAUGACCUUGAAGUACUCACCAACUGUGUGAUCUUGGGCAAGUUACUUCAUGUCUCUGUGCAUCAGUCCUUUGUCAGUGUAAUGGGAAUGAUGCUACAGUUUGGAGGGAGUAGAUGAGAUAAUGCCUGGGACAUAAUAAGCAUUCAAUAAAUGUUAGCUACGGCCAGUAGCUAUUACUAAAUAUUGAGAAGAAGGAGUAGGUAAUAAUUCUCCCACCAGGGAGAAAUUUUAGUUUCUCCUUUACCAGGUGAGUUUCCAUAAGGCUUUGGAAAAGAAAUGCUCUUUUGUAGAUGAGGUAACUAAAUGUCAAAGAGAUCAAUUAUUCUUGAGUCACAUGUUUCAUCAAGAUCUUCUUAAGAAACAGGAUAGAAUGUAUACUUUCCCCAAGACCUUUUCUGCUUUCUUGAGAGAGGGCUGGUGGUAGCCCUUGAAAUCCACCUGUGCCCUCUGAGUUGGAGAGCUCCCAAAUGCUCUCCAUCUGGGGGAAAGACAGGGCCCUUGGGGAAAGCAACUUGCAAAAACAAGGUCAGAUUCUAAAUCCAGAGGCCACCGGAGGCUACACCUUGGCUUCACGGUGGUGACUCGGCAUUUGGAGAUGAGAAAUCAUCUCCUAGACGACGAAGCUCCUUAUUUACAGACGAUUGAUCCCAGUGUGUACUACAGCCAAAUCCACUUCUGGCCUCCUGCCUGGUGACAUGGAGAAAAUACCACAGCUGCCGUGUCUUGGGUACAUUUCCAUCUGCCGGGCCUUCUCUGGGUUCCGGGGGGAAGUGAGUCAGAAGUCUGUCAAUACUAUGGAUUUGGUGUCUGAUGUGGGUUCUGAGGAUAGAUUUUUUUAACCGCUAUAUUCACUCCCACCCCAGGAGCCACAGUGGUGAUGUCAACUCUGGAGACCACGCACAGAGGCCCUGGCUGUCUCCUGGAAUAGACACCCCACCUGACAGAGUCCGAGAAGCCUUGCCUCAGUCAAUACGUGUCCACCAGUGCCUCCUCUGCAUCUAACGCUGUCCAAGAAGAGAAGAGAAACUUCCGGAAACUUUAGCAUAAUCCAGAUGAAAUUAAACUCAUAUGACAAUAGUUACGGGAACAUCUGUUUAUAAGGCAUUAACCAUGUGACAGCUGCUGUACGGGGAUCGCUACAGCCUCCGCCGUAGGUCCUACCAACAUCUUCCUUUGACUCUUAAUAGAUUAAGAAGGUUUCUCAAGAUACAGUUGCGUUUCAAACCCCCAAACAGUCAGUUCUUGUUAUUCGUGGCAGUUACAUUCUAUAAAGUGACUAUAGACACUGAAUUAACCAACACUGAGCCUUUGUUCCUCCUAGGGGGCAGAUAGAGUUAGGAUCCUGGAGACUCUGAUCACAACAUUUCCAUCACGGAUCAAUACCUAACUUCGUUUUAAGCGUGUUUCUGUUUAAAGACAUCUUAAUUGACAUGUACAAUUGACUCAUUGACAUUGAAUUUACAGCCAGCUGCUCUAUGAUUCUUGCAUAAAUGAAGCUUCUCUAACAUACUUUUUUUUUUCUCUCUGUGAGACAUACAUCGCAGCCUGCUUGUACCUGGACUCACUAGGCGGCCCUACAGCAUGAUGCUUGGGGGCCAUUUCCAACAGCACAAUUUCCAACAACAACAACAAAAACACAAAAGCGAGAAAGGUGUGGCACCAACUAGGCUGCAGAGGGGACACUUGUUCACAGUAUCCGUUGGAACAAAAAGGCAGAGUGUCAUCUUGUUGUCCCACUUCAAAUUUUUGUACUGCUCUGAAAAUGUCUUACAAUGACUGCAAAAAUGUCACGAGAAUUGAUCUGGGAGUUACACACAAGUUUUAUCAAGUAGGAAAUUCACAAGCAUGGGAUCCAUGAAUAAUGAGGAUGGUGAGUCUUAUUCCAGAGUGUGUUUUUGCUCUCCUUUAUAUUUUAUUCCACUGUGGUCAGCAGCCUCCAAGAUGAUCUCCAGAAACCCCUACCUCUUGGUCUUCAUGCCCACGGUAAUGCCUUUGGUAACGCCAAUCCCCUUGAGAAUGUGC
rnacentral:lncRNA from 1 species